UCGAGUCGGCCUGCGCGGAAGAUGUAACGGGGCUAAGUAGUAAACCGAAGCUGCGGCAAUAUACUUUUGUAUAUUGGGUAGGGGAGCGUUCUGUAAGCGGUUGAAGGUGUGUGGUAACGCAUGCUGGACGUAUCAGAAGUGCGAAUGCUGACAUGAGUAACGAUAAAGGGGGUGAAAAACCUCCUCGCCGGAAGACCAAGGGUUCCUGUCCAACGUUAAUCGGGGCAGGGUAAGUCGACCCCUAAGGCGAGGCCGAAAGGCGUAGUCGAUGGGAAACGGGUUAAUAUUCCCGUACUUCUUACAAUUGCGAUGGGGGGACGGAGAAGGCUAGGUGGGCCUGGCGACGGUUGUCCAGGUUCAAGUGCGUAGGCUUAAGAGUUAGGUAAAUCCGGCUCUUUUUAAGGCUGAGACACGACGUCGAGCACCUACGGGUGUGAAGUCAUUGAUGCCAUGCUUCCAGGAAAAGCCUCUAAGCUUCAGAUUGUAAGGAAUCGUACCCCAAACCGACACAGGUGGUCGGGUAGAGAAUACCAAGGCGCUUGAGAGAACUCGGGUGAAGGAACUAGGCAAAAUGGUACCGUAACUUCGGGAGAAGGUACGCUCUUGAUGGUGAAGUCCCUCGCGGAUGGAGCUGACGAGAGUCGCAGAUACCAGGUGGCUGCAACUGUUUAUUAAAAACACAGCACUGUGCAAAAUCGUAAGAUGACGUAUACGGUGUGACGCCUGCCCGGUGCCGGAAGGUUAAUUGAUGGGGUUAGACUUCGGUCGAAGCUCUUGAUCGAAGCCCCGGUAAACGGCGGCCGUAACUAUAACGGUCCUAAGGUAGCGAAAUUCCUUGUCGGGUAAGUUCCGACCUGCACGAAUGGCGUAAUGAUGGCCACGCUGUCUCCACCCGAGACUCAGUGAAAUUGAAAUCGCUGUGAAGAUGCAGUGUACCCGCGGCUAGACGGAAAGACCCCGUGAACCUUUACUACAGCUUGGCACUGAACAUUGACCCUACAUGUGUAGGAUAGGUGGGAGGCUUUGAAGCACGUACGCCAGUAUGUGUGGAGCCGUCCUUGAAAUACCACCCUUGUAGUGUUGAUGUUCUAACGUCGACCCCUUAUCGGGGUUGCGGACAGUGCCUGGUGGGUAGUUUGACUGGGGCGGUCUCCUCCCAAAGAGUAACGGAGGAGCACGAAGGUGGGCUAAUCACGGUUGGACAUCGUGAGGUUAGUGCAAUGGCAUAAGCCCGCUUGACUGCGAGAAUGACAAUUCGAGCAGGUGCGAAAGCAGGUCAUAGUGAUCCGGUGGUUCUGAAUGGAAGGGCCAUCGCUCAACGGAUAAAAGGUACUCCGGGGAUAACAGGCUGAUACCGCCCAAGAGUUCAUAUCGACGGCGGUGUUUGGCACCUCGAUGUCGGCUCAUCACAUCCUGGGGCUGAAGUCGGUCCCAAGGGUAUGGCUGUUCGCCAUUUAAAGUGGUACGCGAGCUGGGUUUAGAACGUCGUGAGACAGUUCGGUCCCUAUCUGCCGUGGGCGUUGGAAGAUUGAAGGGGGCUGCUCCUAGUACGAGAGGACCGGAGUGGACGAACCUCUGGUGUUCGGGUUGUGUCGCCAGACGCAUUGCCCGGUAGCUAAGUUCGGAAUCGAUAACCGCUGAAAGCAUCUAAGCGGGAAGCGAGCCCUGAGAUGAGUCUUCCCUGAUACUUUAAGUAUCCUAAAGGGUUGUCGGAGACUACGACGUUGAUAGGUCAGGUGUGUAAGUGCUGUGAGGCAUUGAGCUAACUGAUACUAAUUGCCCGUGAGGCUUAACCAUACAACACCCAAGGGGUUU
rnacentral:rRNA from 1 species